rnacentral:rRNA from 1 species
UGGAAUCGCUAGUAAUCGCGGAUCAGAAUGCCGCGGUGAAUACGUUCCCGGGUCUUGUACACACCGCCCGUCACACCAUGGGAGUCGGAAAUGCCCGAAGUCUGUGACCCAACCUGAGAGGGAGGGAGCAGCCGAAGGCAGGUCUGAUGACUGGGGUGAAGUCGUAACAAGGUAGC